rnacentral:tRNA from 1 species
GGGGUUGUAGCUCAGAGGUAGAGCACUUGCCUUGCAUGCAUGAGGUCCUGGGUUUCAUCCUCAGCACCA